rnacentral:rRNA from 1 species
UCGAGGAUCUUCGGCAAUGGGCGAAAGCCUGACCGAGCGACGCCGCGUGGAUGAUGAAGGCCUUCGGGUUGUAAAAUCCUGUCGAGGGGGAUCAAGGGCAACUUGAGUGAUCCCUGGAGGAAGCACGGGCUAAGUUCGUGCCAGCAGCCGCGGUAAGACGAACCGUGCAAACGUUAUUCGGAAUCACUGGGCAUAAAGGGCGCGUAGGCGGCUCCAAAAGUCAGGGGUGAAAUCCGGCAGCUUAACUGUCGCAGUGCCUUUGAUACUGUGGAGCUAGAGGGAGGUAGGGGUCUGUGGAACUUCCGGUGGAGCGGUGAAAUGCGUUGAUAUCGGAAGGAACGCCGGUGGCGAAAGCGACGGACUGGAUCUCUUCUGACGCUGAGGCGCGAAAGCCAGGGGAGCAAACGG